rnacentral:rRNA from 1 species
GACGAACGCUGGCGGCGUGCUUAACACAUGCAAGUCGUGCGGUAAGGCCCUUUCGGGGGUACACGAGCGGCGAACGGGUGAGUAACACGUGAGCAACCUGCCCUUCACUUUGGGAUAACUGCCGGAAACGGUGGCUAAUACCGGAUAUGACUUCCUCACGCAUGUGGGGUGGUGGAAAGCCUUCGGGUGGUGGGGGAUGGGCUCGCGGUCUAUCAGCUUGUUGGUGGGGUGAUGGCCUACCAAGGCUUCGACGGGUAGCCGGCCUGAGAGGGUGACCGGCCACACUGGGACUGAGACACGGCCCCGCCUCCUACGGGAGCCAGCAGUGGGGAAUAUUGGACUCUGGGCGCAAGCCUGAUCCAGCAACGCCGCGUGAGGGAUGACGGCCUUCGGGUUGUAAACCUCUUUCGCCUGCGACGAAGCGAGAGUGACGGUAGCAGGUAAAGAAGCACCGGCCAACUACGUG